AAGAGUUUAUAAAAAUUCGUCAAAAUCACCUUGACAUGGUGGGGGUCGGUGGUUCGAAUCCACUCGGUCGUACCA
rnacentral:tRNA from 1 species